rnacentral:rRNA from 1 species
UACAGAGGGGGCAAACGUUAUUCGGAAUUAUUGGACGUAAAGGGCGCGUAGGCGGCUUUGCAAGUGACGGGUGAAAUCCCACGGCUUAACCGUGGAACUGCCUGUCAGACUGCAUGGCUUGAGACCAGGAGAGGUGAGUGGAAUUCCCAGUGUAGCGGUGAAAUGCGUAGAUAUUGGGAGGAACACCAGUGGCGAAGGCGGCUCACUGGACUGGUACUGACGCUGAGGCGCGGAAGCGUGGGGAGCAAACAGG